GACGUAUUUAGCCGGAGCUUCUUAGUCAGGUACCGUCACUUUCUUCCCUGCUGAUAGGGCUUUACAUACCGAAAUACUUCUUCACCCACGCGGCGUUGCUGCAUCAGGGUUCCCCCCAUUGUGCAAUAUUCCCCACUGCUGCCUCCCGUAGGAGUCUGGGCCGUGUCUCAGUCCCAAUGUGGCCGUCCACUCUCUCAAGCCGGCUACUGAUCGCUGCCUUGGUGGGCCGUUACCCCGCCAACUAGCUAAUCAGACGCGGGCCCAUCCUGUACCACCGGAGUUUUCCCCGCAGCGCCAUGCGGCACCGCGGGCUUAUGCGGUAUUAGCAGCCGUUUCCAGCUGUUGUCCCCCUGUACAGGGCAGGUUACCCACGCGUUACUCACCCGUCCGCCACUAGGCUGUAUGCUGCUUCCGCCCGAAAGCUUCCGCUGCAUACGCCCCGUUCGACUUGCAUGUGUUAGGCACGCCGCCAGCGUUCAUCCUCGAGUCCACGGAUCAAACUCUC
rnacentral:rRNA from 1 species